rnacentral:rRNA from 1 species
UACGUAGGGUCCAAGCGUUGUUCGGAUUUACUGGGCGUAAAGGGCGCGUAGGCGGCAAUUCAAGUCAUCUGUGAAAUCUCCGGGCUUAACCCGGAACGGUCAGGUGAUACUGUUUUGCUAGAGUGCGGAAGGGGCAAUCGGAAUUCUCGGUGUAGCGGUGAAAUGCGUAGAUAUCGAGAGGAACACCAGAGGUGAAGACGGGUUGCUGGGCCGACACUGACGCUGACAGCGCGAAAGCCAGGGGAGCAAACGGG